AGUAAAAGUAUUGCAUUCGUGAAGUGAGCGUGUUUACGUUCGUGCUCGGUCUUUGAACGAUUGUCAUUUUGCAAUUUGCAAAUUGAAAGUAAUGUUAUUGUUGAUAUUGUGCCACAUGGGCGGGAAAGUACGUAAAAAACUAUAGUCUUGUAUACAAUGUGCAGUGCAUAGGAACCAGAAUGUUUGUCAUAUUUUCAAUACUAGUCAUAUGUCAUGCGCAAUAUGAAAUUUAUGAAUUGCGUAAAAUAAUAAAAUGUGUGGAAACAAUCGAUUCAUUAUUUAUUAAAAAAAUACAUUGGAGACAGAUUCAUCAAAAUAUUUGUUUUAACAAAUGCCAUUCGGUACACAAAGUGUGUGUGUGUGUUUGUGUUCCUAGAAACGUCAAAGGAAUUUAUAUGUUUAUUAGUUUUAGAUUAAGCAUAGAAAGAAGACUGUCCACUUUUGAUGAUCAUAGCUGCCGUAAACGCUACUCCCGUACUGGUUGGUGGAUUGGUUGGAAAUGUGUCGGUUGUUUAUCACUUUCUUGGUGCCUGUUGUUGGUGGAUUCACAAACCAAUUGCUUUCAGAUUAAUUUUGAAAAUGAGAUUGUACGUUUGACGGAGACAAUUUAGAAUAAUCUAUUGGACCGUUUUCUGUGUAAAUUUCAGUAAGUUGCAUCAAUUUGAGAAAUGAAUUGUUCUCCAAGUGGUCUUCACAACCAGUUCAAGUACUUAAAAUGUUGCCUUUCAUUUCGUCUUUUUACGCUUUUCAAAAUGGAAAAAUUCACCUAGGUAACAGGCUGAACGAUUGUAAUGGUAAAUUUAUCAAAUAAAUCAUGUCGUUGUAGGUAUCGAAAAGCCCAUUCGAACUAUUGAUAGAACGGGAAAACCGGUAUGAGAACCAAUUUAACUACCAAAGAAUUGGCACAGGUGAAAACAAGAGGUAGACUUAUGAAAACUGAUUUAAUAACUAAGGCGGACAAAGCUUUGAGCAAGUUAAAACUUUUAUUUUUUUCUGCGUAUCGAUUUUGAGUUUAAUCCAUGAAAGAAAGUUUACGAAAUGAAACACAAACAUAUUAUGUCGCAUAGUAGAAAGAUAACUUCUGAGAAAAAUAUAGCAUAAAUACAAACUUCAUAGAUACCUAAGAAGAACAAUAAAGCGGCACCUGGAGACUGAUUGGAGAAAUAGAGAAUCAUGCAAAUAGUUUGCUGUAACAAGUACGCGUCUGUGUUAGUUCAAACGUUGAAAGUAUGGCACAAUGCACUUUGCCCCCUUAGGUGGCGUUGUAUUGUUUACUAUUUUCAUGAUCAGAAAGGCUGGAAUGUUUAUCAUUUGUACAGGCUGUUUUUAUUAACAUAUUUAGGCGAAACAAUGGAUUAUCCAAAUUACGUUUUAUUGUAUAAUAAUUGUAAUUGUAAUUGUAUUAUCGUAUACUAAGCAGUACGUAUCAACGUGUAUGAUUCGUAUCGAAAACCAACUUAAAAUAUUUGCAGAACUAAGCAAUAAAAAAUUGUAGUCGAUCAAAUCCAUAACUCUUGUUUAAUUGAUUUUUGGCAUCAAUUUCUCCUUUCUUUUAUUCGUUUGAAUGGAAUUUUACCGAUACCGAUAUGACUUAGUUGAUGAAUUCACCAUUAUAGACACAUAAUCUAUGUGAUAGCUUAGCGAAUUUUUAACAAAAAAGAUGUGUUCUGAAAAAAGAUGAAAUGAAAGACAAUACGUUUUAGCUGCUUGUUGUGAAGGCUGACAAUUUAAUACUCAAAUUACUGCAAUUUAUAAAAAUUCUGUGUGUACAUAUAUGCAACAAAAAUUGGUGUCUCGAUGAAAUAUUUUAUAUUUUCUCCUUUAACUGUACAAUCUCACUCGCAAAAUAUGUCACAAAUCAAUUGCUUCCACUUCCUUUGGAACUUUCUACAUGUCCACCAGUACAUGGUCUAAUGCCAACCUUAGGCACAUUAUGAAGCCAAGCUCUUUGAUCGUUCGAUGCAGGAGCAGCGUAAACGGCAGCUACAAUCAACAAAAUUGCGAAAAAUAUGAUGAAUUUCAUCGUGAUUUGAAUUGGUUUUUUUUUUAUUGUUUCUUCAAACUGAUCGUUUCAAAGGACGUGGAAAAUUUGGUAGUUGUGCCACAGAUUCAACUGCCUUUUAUACUAAAUCGGAAGCCAUUGAACAAACAAAAGUAUUUGUUGUCGUUUCUAGCAGCACAAACACACACCUCACACACCAAUUGGUUAUUAAUUUAAACAAAUGUUUUGAUACCGAAUCGGAUGUUUUUAGAAAUGUUAUCAUUUUUCGCGGUACGUAAAUCCCGAGAUACGUAAUGCGUAUAAUAUUUACAUAUGUAGAAGCUGUUAUUGAAAAUCGGAAGAAUAACCUACCUCCUAGGUUUAGUACCGUAUUUCUUUUUUUUUAUAGAAUAUGCACAUUCCAAGAACCAUGGUUCGUCACUACUUACACAUGUGAGAAAGCUCUUGGCAUUGAGUACAGAAUAUACUAGACAGCUUUAGAAGAUUUUCUCAUAUGUGACAAUAUCUACAACGAAAGAACCGUUCCUGAUUUUUUUUUUAAACCAUACUCAAAAGACGUAUUUCUUCUAAAUAAUAUUUUAGUUUAAAAAAAGAGAAAAUCAUGACAAGAAAAAUGGUAAAAUGUUGGCUGCAGAGUCCAAAGCAUUGUUAUUGAUUUCAAAUUGAUUUCAGCGUCAUUUGAACAACAUAUGAAAAUGAAAACUGAUAAUUUAACUUCAAGACACUCACGAAUAUAGAUUGAUUACCUUUUUUUAGAUGAAAAUUGCAAACCACACAGAUCCCCAUAUUACAUUAUGUAAUUGGCCGUACGGCCGUUAAAUGUAUAUUGCCUUUUUACCAAUAAAUAGUAAGGAAUAAAGAAUAAAGAACAUUGUUUAAAAAAUGCUUCUACAAAUUAUGAGCAUAAAAAAUAGAGACAAGCCAGUCUGUCAUUCAUUGAAUAAACUUUUCUAAUGAAAUUCAAGGUCAUUUAAUAUGAUACCGAUGAAAAAAAGUACGCUGUUAAGAACGAUUGCGUAGAUUAAGGGUACGUAAAAAUCAGAAUAUUUGUCAUAUUCCAAAAAUUUCUUCAAUAUGUGUAAAUAUUAUGAAAUUUGGAAUUUAUGAAUCGUACCAUAAUAAAAAACAACGUCAGAUUCAAUAUUAAAUAUAUAGAAUGGAAGCAGAUUUAUCAAAACAAUUGUUUAAACAAAUACCAUUUCGUACACAAAGUGUGUGUUUGUGUUGCUAGAUACGUCAGAGGAUUUUUUGUUUCAUCCAUGGCUCUAAAUUUGAUGUAAAAAGGUAAUUGAAUCUAAGGCACAACCACCAGAUUGUCAACAUUUUUUGAAUCAAUAAGUUUGAAGAAAUCGAACACGACGAUAUUCGUUGUAGUAUCGCAGUGUAAUUGAUUGUAAUAGAUAUUCUCGCUGAUCCAGGAUUGAUUGGUGAUGCUUUAUAUGGAGUUGUGGCUUUAAAGUCCAUAUAAAAAAAAACUCUAGUGUCAUCUUACCGCACAGCUGCUGCUAAAAUCAUCGCCGUCGUCAAAUGACUGUACCACCGAAGUGAUGUUGAUUUUUCACAACAGAAGCGAUACAAUAUCGUUUGCUGCAUCAGUCGUAAAUUGAAGUGGUGGAAUAGUGGACAAGAGUGUGAUAAAUUUCGCUGUUGUGCCAACUAUGCAACAAAUGCAUAAAAUAAGUAUAACUGUUUCGCUCGUCCGAAAUGACAACGAUAACGACGAUAACUCUGGCUGCCUCAUUACUAUAUCGAUGGAUGGAUGGAUGGAAGCAACAAAAACAACAUUCGAAUGUCGCAGAUGAACAUCAUCAUCAUCAUCAUCAUCAUUGUAAGAGUGAUAACAACAAUAACAACAGUUGAAGCAGUUCCAGUAACCAGCGGCUGUAGCAGUUGGAACAGCAGCAGCAGCAGCAGUAGCAACAACAUUGAUUAUUAGCUUUUAAUUCAAAAAAUAUAUAAUUAGAUUUUAAGAAUAGUUGUAUUCUACGGAGUUUCAUGGCCAGCUUGAAUAGUUGUACUAUUCUUGCAGCACAGGACUCAUUAUUAUUCGCGUGUUCCAUUUUUGAGAGUAUGUUUUUGAAUUACUUGAUACAUUCAGAGGUCUAACUUCAGAAUAGUUUUUACUUUUGGACAUUUUCGCAAAUACAUGCGUGCAUUAUGCACAAGCUUGCCUUCUUUGUCAAUUUUUACAGUUGAGUUCACGAACUUACGUAAGUACGCACGAAGAAAGAAAGCUGAAUCUAUGUUAAUUCAACGGGUAUAAAUAAAAAAGAAUUUCAUUCGAUUCUGUUAUAUUUGCGCAAAAAUA